AACGAACGCUGGCGGCAUGCCUAACACAUGCAAGUCGAACGAGAACUCCGGGUCUAGUGGCGCUCGGCUGCGUACCGCCGGGGAACCUGCCCGUAGGUUCCGAAUACCUCCCUGUAGGGGGUGCUAAUACCGGUUAAUCUCAUCGGACCAAAGAUUUCUCGCCUUUGGGUGGGCCGGCGUUGGAUUAGCCGGUUGGUAGGGUAAAAGCCUACCAAGGCGACGAUCCAUGGCUGGUCUGAGAGGAGGCUCAGCUACACUGGGACUGAGACACGGCCUAGACUCGUACGCGAGACAGCAGUGGGGAAUAUAGGACGAUGGGCGAAAGCCUGAUACAGCCACGCCGCGUGAGUGAUGAAGGCCUUAGUGUUGUAAAGCUCUUUUAGCCGGGAUGAUAAUGACAGUACCGGGAGAAUAAGCACCGGCUAACUCCGUG
rnacentral:rRNA from 1 species